GAUGAACGCUAGCGAUAGGCCUAACACAUGCAAGUCGAGGGGCAUCACAUGAAGUAGCAAUACGGAUGGUGGCGACCGGCGCACGGGUGAGUAACACGUAUGCAACCUGCCUUCAACAAGGGGAUAACCCGUUGAAAGACGGACUAAUACCCUAUAACACAGGGGUCCCGCAUGGGGAUAUUUGUUAAAGGACAACCGGUUGAAGAUGGGCAUGCGUUCCAUUAGCUAGUUGGCGGGGUAACGGCCCACCAAGGCAACGAUGGAUAGGGGAACUGAGAGGUUUAUCCCCCACACUGGUACUGAGACACGGACCAGACUCCUACGGGAGGCAGCAGUGAGGAAUAUUGGUCAAUGGACGCAAGUCUGAACCAGCCACGUCGCGUGAAGGAAGACGGCCCUACGGGUUGUAAACUUCUUUUAUACGGGAAUAAAGUGCCCCACGCGUGGGGUUUUGCAUGUACCGUAUGAAUAAGGAUCGGCUAACUCCGUGCCAGCAGCCGCGGUAAGUACGCAGCGAC
rnacentral:rRNA from 1 species